rnacentral:rRNA from 1 species
AGUGAACGCUGGCGGUAGGCCUAACACAUGCAAGUCGAACGGCAGCACAGUAAGAGCUUGCUCUUACGGGUGGCGAGUGGCGGACGGGUGAGGAAUACAUCGGAAUCUACUUUUUCGUGGGGGAUAACGUAGGGAAACUUACGCUAAUACCGCAUACGACCUACGGGUGAAAGCAGGGGAUCUUCGGACCUUGCGCGAUUGAAUGAGCCGCUGUCGGAUUAGCUAGUUGGCGGGGUAAAGGCCCACCAAGGCGACGAUCCGUAGCUGGUCUGAGAGGAUGAUCAGCCACACUGGAACUGAGACACGGACCAGACUCCUACGGGAGGCAGCAGUGGGGAAUAUUGGACAAAGGGCGCAAGCCUGAUCCAGCCAUACCGCGUGGGUGAAGAAGGCCUUCGGGUUGUAAAGCCCUUUUGUUGGGAAAGAAAAGCAGCAGGUUAAUACCCCGCUGUUCUGACGGUACCCAAAGAAUAAGCACCGGCUAACUUCGUG